rnacentral:rRNA from 1 species
UACGUAGGGGGCAAGCGUUGUCCGGAUUUAUUGGGCGUAAAGAGCGUGUAGGCGGCUUUACAGGUCCGUUGUGAAAACUCGAGGCUCAACCUCGAGACGCCGGUGGAAACCGUAAAGCUAGAGUCCGGAAGAGGAGAGUGGAAUUCCUGGUGUAGCGGUGAAAUGCGCAGAUAUCAGGAGGAACACCCGUGGCGAAAGCGGCUCUCUGGGACGGUACUGACGCUGAGACGCGAAAGCGUGGGUAGCGAACAGG